rnacentral:rRNA from 1 species
AGGAUGAACGCUGGCGGCGUGCCUAAUACAUGCAAGUCGAGCGGUAAGGCCCCUUCGGGGGUACACGAGCGGCGGACGGCUGAGUAACACGUAGGAACGUACCCCGAACUGAGGGAUAAGCACCGGAAACGGUGUCUAAUACCGCAUGUGGUCUUCGGACUAAAGCUUCGGCGGUUUGGGAACGGCCUGCGCAUGAUUAGCUUGUUGGUGAGGUAAUGGCUCACCAAGGCGAUGAUCAUUAGCUGGUCUGAGAGGAUGAUCAGCCAGACUGGGACUGAGAACGGCCCAGACUCCUACGGAGGCAGCAGUAGGGAAUUUCCACAAUGGGCGAAAGCCUGAUGGAGCAACGCCGCGUGCAGGAUGAAUGCCUUGGUUGUAAACUGCUUUUAUAUGUGAAGAAUUUGACGGUAGCAUAUGAAUAAGGAUCGGCUAACUCCGUGCCAGCAGCCGC